CCGCGGUGGUGGUCGUCGGCGACCACGCUCCCCUUCAGCCGUGGCCAGGAGACUGGGUGCAGCCCCACCCUCCCUCGGCUCCUGCGACCGAAGCGCCGGCCCGAGCGCUCGUCCUCUUCCACUCCGACAGCCAAAUCACCCGGAUCCCGCGUCCUCUUCCACUCCGGCGACCGGAUCCCCUCGAGUUUGCGGAACACCGGAUCUGUCCAGGGCGAGGUCCUUGUCCACGGAUCCGGCCGGGAGAAAUCAUUUUCUUCAUUGUUUCCGUCGAUUUGUCUUAGGUUCAGUUCAACUAAGAAUGCAAGAUGACAAAAUGCGACAAAGGGUUGAAAAAAUGUGCAGUUCUGCCCCAGAGAAAAAGAUGCCAUCCAACAAUAUGCAUAGUUGGGUUCCUUGGAAACAUCACCCUUGAACUUUCUGACAGCUUGGAACAGAUGCUUCCACACAUAACCUCCCUAGUUCGAUUCUUUCAUUUUGCCUAUGUUGUUCUAGUGCUUCCAAGAAUAUGUGUACUGUAGUCAUGCCUGGCAGUGGGAGCAAGCACGUGGCCCAUCACAAAAAUUGCAAAAAUGCAAUAUCUCUAAGCAAAUAUGCAUCUGGUGCCUUCAGAUUGUGUGUUUCUUUAUCACUGAGACAAAUAAGCAUCUUGAUCGAUCUUGAUAUAACUAGUUUCCUCAUCAGGUGAGGAAUUCUUCAGCUUUUA